UGGGCCGGCCAGACGGUCGCGUCGGAGGCACGCCCCGCAAGGGGAACGACUUUCGCCGAGGAACGUCCGGGCUCCGCAGAGCAGGGCGGUGGGUAACACCCACCCGCAGUAAUGCGCGAGAAAGUGCAACAGAGAGCAGACCGCCGCAGGCGAAAGUCGGCGGUAAGGGUGAAACGGUGGUGUAAGAGACCACCAGGGGCCCGAGUGAUCGGGCUCGCUGGGUAAACCUCGCCCGGAGCAAGGUCAGACAGACACCGUUGACGCGGCUCGCCGAGGUGUCGGGUAGACCGCUAGAGCGUGUCGGUAACGGCUCGCCGAGAGAGAUGGCCGUCGAAGGGAAGCGAUUCCUGGAACAGAACCCGGCGUAUCGGCCGACCCACUUG
rnacentral:RNase_P_RNA from 1 species